ACAUUUUGAAGCAGCAGACAUUUUAAGAUGUCAUUCAGCAUUUCCUUGAACGUUUGACUUAUCUUAUUUUGAUCUGCUCCAAGCUUCCAUGUUCUUGCUUUUUCAAGAACUAGCUCCUCUAUUAGCUGAAAUAAAAACUGAGGUGGUGAACAGAAUCAAAAUUGUCUCAGCUAUGAUCUAUGAAAUUCUUGUUUUUGUGCAUAACAGUGACAAGAACCAUGCUGGCCAAAUGCUAGGCAAUCCAACACUGAAAAAAAAAAAUUACAGGUGUUAAGGAGAGUACUAAAUUCAUUGAAAUUUGUUGUGAGUAAAGAUGCAAAAUCUGUCUGCUCUGGAAAAAUGAUUGUUUUUCUAUUUUAUUUCUCUGUGGUAAAAAUCUAGGGGAGUGGCUUACGAGCUGGCAGGAACUUAAAAAAAGAAUAUGCAUGUAAUUCCUUGAAAGUUCAUCAUCCUUAAUGCAUUACCAUGAAAUGACUGAUUUUACGUUACUCAGCAUUUAACAUUGAAACUUCAUUUCCUUGGGUAACCAUUCUAGCUACCACAGUGCCAGGGGCUUAUGUAUCCUACCUGGUACAUAUUAGGUCCAUUUUGAGGAUAUAGGUUUGUUGCAUUUCUAAAGGGCAAAUAGCUUAUAUAAUUAGAUCAUAUCUUAGGAACUGUUGCUUUACUUCUCCCACCUUAAUGUAAAGAAAAGAAGAUAGGAAAACAUUUCUUCAACUAUCAUGUGAAAACAGACUAAUGUUAAUCUAGGAAAUAUUUAGGUACUUUACUCAUGAACGUUUAGCAUAAUUACUCUCCUGACAAAAUGCCAUGUGUGCAUAAUAAUGGCAGUGCUGUUGUGAAAAGCUUUCAGUGGUGAGGAAUAGCUAAAAAGAGGAAUCGAGGAGCCUAUUCCAUUAAAUUCUGUUUAGACAGGGAAAGCCAUACCUAAAGGAAUAUCUGCUAGGAUAUCAACUAUGAAGGAGUAGGGCCUGCAGCAGUAGGAAGGUAUUACAGCAUACUAAUUUAGUACUCUAUCUGCUAAAUUUAUUUUAUUCACUAGUUGCGAACUCAAGGCACAGUGUUUGCACUCAGCACUGCCUUUUCACUGCUUGUUGCCCACGUGUGACUUGAUUUUAACAUAACAACGCUCACAGCUUGGGGAACGAGAGCCUUAUGUUGGCACUUGUCAUUUAAAGUUGAAAGGAGGAAGCAUUUUGCUUAGCUUUUUUUUUUUUUUUUUUUUUUUUCCACUGCAGAUUUUUCAGUUUGCUGCUACACUAUAAGAUAGGACCUGCUGGUUCCUAAAAACAAGUAAAUUCUCCUUGGGGCUAUUAUUAAUAGUAAAUUGAGUAAUUUGGAGCCAGGAAGAAUCAAGGAGUGGUUUGAGUGAGGAAUGCUUUCCACUGGCUGGCAAUGCAUUUUUGGGAGUUCUGCUUUUAAAUUAGCUAAUUCUCUUUCAUUGCUUGCUGUAGGCACCGUUAAGGAAGGAUACCUCAUGCUUUAUGGUUUCUUCUGAAAGGUAUGAGACAUGGUUGAAUUUUUUCAGCUCUCAGAGCAGCCAGUUUCAAUUAAAAAGGAACUGAGAUCUUUGUCAAAAGUUUCAGUUUAGCUGGCCAGGCCAAACAGACAGAACACCACAGAGGUGUGUUUCCUACGAAGUGUGCUCAUCUACGGGCUCAGCUGUGCAGAAGGAAGUGCACCCUGUCCUUCUCUCUUCCCCCAACAUCCUACAUGCUCCCAUUUCUUGUCUUAUGUUGCUCUGCUCAUUGCUUGGCACCUCUGUUAGCUCAGUAGUGUCAGGCAGUAAGGAACAGACCCAACAAGAUGGAUAAUCAUCCAUGGCAGUAGUGAGUAACAUUGGCUUAUAGAGAAGUUCAGUACCUGCCAGAGCCAUUACAAGGGAGGAAUAUGCAUUGUGUGGGCAGGUGAAGAAGGAAGAGGGAGCUGAGUAAGUGGGAGGAAAGAAGGGGACCUCUUCCUCUUAGGAGGAAAGCAUUAUCUUGGUGCAGCUUCCCACAAAGCUUUGCUUUCACUAAGUGAUGUUUUUGUUUUUCUUCUACUUUGCAACAUGUGGUUGUGAAAACAACAUGAGGCACCAAUUUCCAAAUGAGGUUUAACAUGAUCUCAGCCUGUGCUUUUACUUUCCCUGCUUCAUGCAGAGCCAAAUGUUUCUGCUACCUCUUUUAUUUCUGGAUAUGAAAGCCAAAAUCCUACAAAACCCGGAACUGUUUCCUUAGGAUCUUUCCUUGCAUACUUGCUGCAGGAAUUGUGAUGCAGGCAUAUGAGAGAAAAUAGUGUGGGCUGGAGCACUGUACAUCCACCAGUUUAUACUAGUUAGGAAACAGCACCUUAAAGGCUUGAGCAUCUGCCAGUAUUUAAUAUGCACCCUCCUGUGGGCAGCACAAAAUAUAAUAGUUUCCAAAGUUUUAUAAAAAGAGAAAUACAGUUUCUCAUUAUGUUUCAGGUACUUGUUUUUCAUCUGCUUAAAAAAAAAAAAAAAAAAAAAAAUUGGGUUUUCCUUGGCAUUCAGACUUUCCCAAUGAGAUUGAAGAUGAUAUGUUUACUAGUGACAAAGAGAGGAUGUGGUCAUCUAGUUCCAUUCCUAGCAUUUGACUUGUUGUGUUUCAUCAUUUCAUUUUUUGGAAAGGACUCUUAAUUCUUCUGACAUUAUCAUAGGCUGGAAGUAAGUAAGUACUUACUGCUGGCUAUCAAGGGGAAAAUACCUAUGUUAUUAUUCUGUGUUCAAGAAAUGUUUUAGUUGUUGCUCUAGAGGGUAUCUAAAAUUCUGUGAUACAAACUCUGAUAGUACAUGGAAUACUGUCCAUGGUAACAAGAUGCACUUUUAUUUUGAUGUGGAAAUAUACAUCUUCCCUCUUCUCAAUCCUGGGUAGACGGGUGCCUUCCUCUGGCAGACGUGCAGGUUCUCUAUGCAGUGCCUUUGGGAAAAUAUGUUUCCCUGAGAACAGUUCUCAGCACUCUUUCUGAUAGAGAAAACUGAUCCCUUAGCACAGCCUGGUGGCUGUUAGUGAGACAGCAAGCAAAAUAUAAAAUCACACAAUUAUAUGUGAGAGAGGAAGUGAUUGUAUUACUGCUGUAGGUGUGAUGGUCUCACUUUCCUGUAGAGCAAGUUCUAGAUGAGGUGAGAGUGGUUGUGGGAAAAUGGAGAUGCUGUCUGGCACACCAGCCCACUGUAGAUCUGAAAUAAUAACAGUAAAUUCAAGUGUAGUCUGAAGGGGAAAAAUGUUCUGUGCAGAGGUAGCUGCCAGAAAGAGAGGGAAAAUAUAUCUGAGUGGGGAAAGGAAAUGAUUGCAUUCAGAAUGGAGACAAAACCUGUCAUUAAACUCAUGUAUCAGAGUGGAUGAUCUUUAUUAUCUGCUUAUUUAACAUCAGUGAAUUUCAGCUAGCUCUGUAGACCACCCUAAAAGAUCAGGAUUGAAAAGUCACAGGUUUUUUUUUGUCAGAAAUGUUCGUACGGCAAUGUCAAGGACAAUGGUAUGAAGUAUCUGUGCAGCCUAGUAAAACCUAAAGCCAUGGCCAUGAUAUGGCACAUGAAGACAGAUGAAAAUUUGGAGGCAUCUCCACUGUCAUAGCCCUUGAAAAGGACACCAUCUUCCAAUCAUCUACUGGAUUAUUUUUGUUCUUACAGAUCUGCUGCUAAAGUACAGGGUAUGUUUCUAAGCUGUGCAUUUUCUUAACUCCUAUUUUUAUUGCAGGCAGUAAAUUCUUGGCUAACACUUAAGUUAAUAAAUUAUAGCAGUGGUGAAAAUGGCCCAGGUGGUGGUGUGCUUUUCUGUGAGAUUUGAGAAUUUCACUCUACAAAUGCCAGAAAGAGCCAUGAAUAAAAUUCCAUACUGCUGCAAAACACAUAUAUCACCUUUCCAGAUUGAUGUGAUAUUUCAUCAAGAGCAUCAUUUAUUUGCUGGGAAAUUAUUUAUUCUAGUAAACUCGCUGAUGACAAAUUGAAGAAUUGCAGGUGGCUACACCUUAUGUGUUGGUUCCAAAAUAGGUUUCUAAUACAAGAAAAAGGAUGAAUUAUAACGCUGCCGCUGGCUGGAAGAAGCAGGUGAAAGUACUCAAGGCUGAGGCAGCAAGAAAACAUCUGCACUUUGGAGGCACAAAUGUCUUGAAAAUGGGGGCAGAUAUCCCCCAUAUUAAACAAAGGAAGGGAAAUGGGGGAUUCAGAAGAGUGAAGAAGAUAGAGUUUGUGUGGCAGCACUAAUCAUACAAAAAUUUGAGCAUGAAAUAACCCCUGGGAACAAAGUCCAGGUAUAGAAAUGUAUCAGGUACCUCAUGUUGUCUGGUUUUGGUGAUAGUUUUAAAGUUAAGAUGAGAAAGUUUGAGUUAAUACUGGAUAUAUGAGAGGUUGCGGAUGUCAGAGAGCACUGCAUCAUGCACCUAUCUUUGCUUUGCUUCUAGCAAAACUUGGUGUCUACUAAGAAGGUACUCAUGAUUGAAUACAGGAUCACAACAUGUCGGGAUUCAGGAGAAAUAUAAUUUAGGAUCUCUAUUAUAGAUCCUCCAGGAACAAAUGGGAUCAAUUCCGGGUAGGAGGUUCAGGGUAGACUGAAAUUUGUCUCUACGGUUGGUUUUGGUUUGACAUAAUGAGAACUAAAGGUGCAGAUUGUUAUCUGUAUCUUUAUCUGUAUUAUUAUCCUCUUAAUGUCCUUCUUAUCCUUGAACUGUAUUAUUAUCCUAUGACAAAGCUUAGAGCGUUUUGAAUGUACAUUUGAGAUACCAAACCUGUUUUCCAUUCACAGAUAAUAUGAUUUUGAUUAAAUCACUCCUAUCCAGUGAUUCAACCCCAUGUGUAGUAUGAUGUGCUGUUAGUAAGAAGCAUCAGAAGAAAGAUUUCCUCCCAGUUCCUCCCAGGAAUAAAAAGGUCUUGGUGGAUCAACAUAUGUCGGGUGUCUGAUGACUAGGACAGUCAAACUCUCAUGCUCUGAAAGAGGUACAAAUUAAGAAAUGGAGAAUGAUGGAAUCAACUUGUGAUGGAUCAGAAUUGCAUGUAUUAACAUGAAUUUCUUGUUAAUGGAGAAGACAAGCAUUAUCCAUAAAUGAAUUCUGAACAGGAGGCCUUCUAUUGCUGACACUAAUAACUAUAAUCUCCCUCUGUUUUGAUGGCCUCUGGAAUAAUACAGUUCAUUACAGAGCAACGCAAGACUAAUUUUUUUUAAGUACUUGAUAUAGCAUUUACAUUGUCUUUUAAUAUUGCCAUCAUUAUCUCUGUCAUUUGAAAUUCAGAUGUGGGAAGGCUUUUUUUUUUACUCCUAAACAAGCUAUGCUGUGGAGAUGGCAUAGACACUCUGUGCUCAAUGUAUAAUGUACCUUUAGGAGAAUUAGCAGCAUAAUUACGCAUUCACAGACACACUGUCUGUGUUUCUGUCUAGUAUGUGCGCUGUGGUAGUUUUAAAUUUGAAUGUGAAUAGCUAUCAGAGGUGUUUUUUAUUAAAAUAUAUAUCUUCUUAAUAUUUAAUUUCCUCAGGAUAGUUUUAAAAUAGAUUGAAGAGUUUGUUUCAACUUCAUGUUUAAACUCCUGUUUGAAUGGUCCUUGAAUUCAUCUGUGUGUGUAUUAAUGCACAUAGAUACCAAGUCAUGGAUUUGGGAAUAAAAAAAUAUGCUAAAGGAAGGUAACUGUGACACCUUCAUAGGUAACAGCAAACAAUUAAGUGAGAGGAGCUACUGGUAUUAUGCUGGUAAAGUAAAUAAAGCUCUUGGAGAAUAUGACACUUGGGUGAACAUUGCCCCCUUAAAUAUGUGUUUUUCGGGAAGGACAGUGGUCAGUAUAUGAAUACAUUAGUGAAAUGACACAUGUGUUUGGAACUUUGGGUCUAGUUCUGUACACCAACACUGAGAAUAUGGCUAGUUUGCAGUAAGUAAUGCACCAUGAGUAGAAAUGUGGAAACUGUGCCUUGUAUGGAGGUUACUGAGAAAUUCAAAAUGUCUCAUAUAAUUUCUUCAGAGAAUUAGG
rnacentral:lncRNA from 1 species